rnacentral:rRNA from 1 species
GAUGAACGCUAGCUACAGGCUUAACACAUGCAAGUCGAGGGGUAACGAGAGGGAAGCUUGCUUUCCUUGUCGACGACCGGCGCACGGGUGAGUAACGCGUAUCCAACCUGCCCCCAACUAGGGAAUAACCUUGCGAAAGUAAGACUAAUACCCUAUAAUUUCCUCAGAUGUCAUCUGACGAGGAAUAAAGAUUUAUCGGUUGUGGAUGGGGAUGCGUCUGAUUAGCUUGUGGACGGGGUAACGGCCCACCAAGGCAACGAUCAGUAGGGGUUCUGAGAGGAAGGUCCCCCACAUUGGAACUGAGACACGGUCCAAACUCCUACGGGAGGCAGCAGUGAGGAAUAUUGGUCAAUGGGCGGAAGCCUGAACCAGCCAAGUAGCGUGCAGGAUGACGGCCCUAUGGGUUGUAAACUGCUUUUAUACAGGAAUAAAGUUAGCCACGUGUGGUUAUUUGUAGGUACUGUACGAAUAAGGACCGGCUAAUUCCGUGCCAGCCGCCGCCGUAA